rnacentral:tRNA from 1 species
GCCUGGGUGGCUCAGUCAGUUGAGUGUCUGACUCUUGAUCUCAGCUCAGGCUGUGAUCUCACAGUUUGUGGGUUCAAGCCCCACAUCAGGCU